rnacentral:rRNA from 1 species
UACGUAGGGCGCAAGCGUUGUCCGGAAUUAUUGGGCGUAAAGAGCUCGUAGGCGGCUUGUCACGUCGGAUGUGAAAGCCCGGGGCUUAACCCCGGGUCUGCAUUCGAUACGGGCUAGCUAGAGUGUGGUAGGGGAGAUCGGAAUUCCUGGUGUAGCGGUGAAAUGCGCAGAUAUCAGGAGGAACACCGGUGGCGCAGGCGGAUCUCUGGGCCAUUACUGACGCUGAGGAGCGAAGGCCAGGGGAGCAAACGGG